AUGGCCUUGGUGGAGGAGCUGGAGGCUCUGUGUAAGAGCAAGACAUGGGUAGUAACACCUCCAAACAGGAAAGAACGCAAUCAACUGCAAGUGGGUAUACACUGUGAAACAGAAUGUAGAAGGAAAGAUUGGAAGGUACAAAGCAAGGCUUGUGGCAAGUAUAACCAGGCCAACGACGGUAAAUUGGUGACUAAACCAAAGAAAGACUGUUUCUUUGAUGACGUGGUCAUUGGGAUACAAUACGACAACAAAGAUGAUGAAGAAUAUGCCCUACUCAAGGGGUCAAGCACUCGAUCGUAA
rnacentral:rRNA from 1 species